rnacentral:lncRNA from 1 species
AACCAAGUUGCAAAGGAAAUAAGAAAACUCCCUUUGUUGUUCCUCCUUUUGGUUAGUGCACUUCUUUGUUGUCUUGAUUGUUGAUCUCCUAAGUGUUUGUAGUGUUUGUUUCAAGAGAGCUUGUUUCGGCUUUGGCUUUGUCUCCUCCUUAGAAUGUUGGCUUUAAUUCUCCAAUUUCCAGCACCUAUUCACAAGGGCUAAACCUUAAACCAAGUCAAAUUCCAUGCACAUAAGCACCAAGGGAGAAGUUAAAUUCCAGCACCCAAAAAGAGAGGUCAAGGAACAAAAGCAAGAAACAAAUUUAAUUGAAAGAAAACAGUACCACCAAAAGGAUUUAUAAUAUGACAACUUAGAAAGAGAUUCAAGAAAUUAAAGCAAACAAUUAAAGGUACUCAAUAAAAGUUGGCACACAAAAAGAAUUCCUAAAGAAAAGCACUAGAUUUAGAUGACCAAAUAAAAAAAAACAGCACCACUGGAAAAUGUUGUGGGCCAGAAAACGUGUUUGUUCCCCG